rnacentral:tRNA from 1 species
AAGACUUGUGGCACACUACACCACAUCCAAUGAAUGCAAAUCAAGCACUUUAAUUAAGCUAAAGCCUC